GACGGGGGGGGCAAGUGUUCUUCGGAAUGACUGGGCGUCAAGGGCACGUAGGCGGUGAAUCGGGUUGAAAGUGAAAGUCGCCAAAAAGUGGCGGAAUGCUCUCGAAACCGAUUCACUUGAGUGGGACAGAGGAGAGUGGAAUUUCGUGUGUAGGGGUGAAAUCCGUAGAUCUACGAAGGAAGGCCAAAAGCGAAGGCAGCUCUCUGGGUCCCUACCGACGCUGGGGUGCGAAAGCAUGGGGAGCGAACAGG
rnacentral:rRNA from 1 species